GUGCGGCCAGGAAACCAGCCGCCCGAACGCCUCCUUUUGUCUCACCUUUGGAUAUCUGUUUCUUCCCCGCUCUCCUUCCACCCGCCCCGAAUCAGGCUCACCUUAUCCAUUGAGCAGCUCCCGCACACACUCACACGGAUGGAGGGAGGAAAGAGGGUAGGUGCGGCAGCUCGUCGACGGCGGCCGCGGCGACGCCAUGGACGCGCCUGCGACGGUUGGCGACGCCGUGGGAGUCCUCCCCGAGGGCGUUCUCCCGUCGGCGAGUGGGGGUCUCGCCCUCCAUGGGAUCUCGCCGCGGUUGGAGGUGUGGAUGGUGUAGAUGCUGCUCACGGAGGCGAGCUCAUGCCGUUGGCUGCCGCGGCGGCAUGCCCGGAGACCGCGGCGGAGGAUCUCCUCCGGGCGGCUGACCCGGCAAGGGCUGCCGUAGCGGCGCGCUCAAGCGCUCAUGCUUGGGGCGGCUCCGGCGACGCUUUCGGAGCUGCACAAUUGCAGAGUGCAGGCGGUCGUCCGGGGAGCACGCGCCGUCAGCGCUGGCGGAGAGGAGGGGCGGGAAGACGACACGUCCGACGGCGCGUCUACGACGUGAGGCUCGGGUUGCCGGUAAGGCCGCGGCUGCGCGUGCAACAUCCUCCAGGCGGUGCUGAACAGGGCAGGCGCGGGUGAACGAGGAGGCCGCCUUCAUCCCGGCGAGAUCCGCCGUACGUUGGAGCGCUGUGGCAGCUCGCCGGGAUGGCUCGCACCGAUGCUAGGCGCCGUCGCUGGUCUCCAUGCCCAAUGGCUAGAGAUGGCUCGCGCCGGUGCUCUGCGCGUCGAUGGUCUCCACGCCCGGUGCCAGGUUGGCCCAGCAAAGUGAGCAGUGCUUUCAACCCCUAUGUCAUUCCCUCUCAAUGAUUUAUUUGAUCAUGCCGUGCAUGAAUGCCUGUUAAGAACAUUCACGAGAUGCCUCUUUAGAACAUUCAGGUAAUGUCGAGUGAGCAUAUUCCCUCUCUUCACGUUGCUACUGAUGUAUACGUAGUGGCCAUUGGCCCAUGAAUCAACCAUUUUACUUUCUGAUUCAACGAAUUUUUAAGAUGCAAUUGUUUCA